rnacentral:rRNA from 1 species
CCUACGGGGGGCAGCAGUGGGGAAUAUUGGACAAUGGGGGCAACCCUGAUCCAGCCAUGCCGCGUGUGUGAAGAAGGCCCUCGGGUUGUAAAGCACUUUCAGUGAGGAAGAACGCCUGGUGGUUAAUACCCAUCAGGAAAGACAUCACUCACAGAAGAAGCACCGGCUAACUCCGUGCCAGCAGCCGCGGUAAUACGGAGGGUGCGAGCGUUAAUCGGAAUUACUGGGCGUAAAGCGCGCGUAGGUGGCUUGAUAAGCCGGUUGUGAAAGCCCCGGGCUCAACCUGGGAACGGCAUCCGGAACUGUCAAGCUAGAGUGCAGGACAGGAAGGUAGAAUUCCCGGUGUAGCGGUGAAAUGCGUAGAGAUCGGGAGGAAUACCAGUGGCGAAGGCGGCCUUCUGGACUGACACUGACACUGAGGUGCGAAAGCGUGGGUAGCAAACAGGAUUAGAUACCCUUGUAGUC